UACGUAGGUGACAAGCGUUGUCCGGAUUUACUGGGCGUAAAGAGCGCGCAGGCGGUCGUUCAAGUCGAGUGUGAAAGCCCCCGGCUCAACUGGGGAGGGUCACUCGAUACUGAUCGACUCGAAGGCAGGAGAGGGUAGUGGAAUUCCUGGUGUAGCGGUGAAAUGCGCAGAUAUCAGGAGGAACACCAAUGGCGAAGGCAGCUCGCUGGGACGUGACUGACGCUGAGGUGCGAAAGCGUGGGGAGCAAACAGG
rnacentral:rRNA from 1 species